ensembl:lncRNA
CCCCGAAUCGUGAGGAAUUGUAGCUGCUGUCUGAUAAUGAAAGAAGGCAACGUGACAAGUUGUUGCCGUUUUUUUAUUUCGUCUUCUCUUCCCCACCUUCUGUAACCACAGUUUGCCUUUCUCCCACGUAGUUUUGUUGCCAUGGUGAUGGGAUGUUGUUGCCAGUAGGCAUGACUCGGUAAAUAAGAGGGCCAUCUGGCCAAACCAUUAGAAGGGGGUAGGCCACUGUCCUGCCUUGGAUAAAUCAAUACCUCAGGCAGACCAUCGCCUGAGGUGGGUUUCUCUGCACUGUUGUCCUUGCAAUGUGUAAUGGCACAUCAGAUAGCAUUGGCUUUUGGAGGAAGGAUGCUUAGGAUGGGACUGGCUCAGGCUCUGCAGCCUUCCCCACUGUAAGCAGUGCACACUGUACUGCUGUAAAGCCCCCUGCAUGGAUCCCUGCAAUGGCUUCACUUCUAUGUAAUAACCUCUGUUCGACUUCAGCUCUACCAGGCCCAAAUGUAAUAAUGAGAGAAUCAAACGCUCGUCUAGACUGCUUCGGGAACCUCCGCAUUUCAAAGUCCUGCAUAUUUGUGUGAAGUCAGCACAUCUCGUCUGCCCCGAGGGGCUUCUAAGAGCCAGCGUCUGUCAUAACAAAGGGUGCCAUGGGGGUCGUAGAACCUUGCUUAAACCCUUUCUGAAUCGGUCUCCAUGGUAAGGGGUCCCUCUAUGGCUCUCCUGUGAGGUCCAUUAGUCUAUUUGGGGCUUAUUACAGUAAUCCUACGCUGAUGGAAUUCAGCGACUUAUAGUAAUCUCUCCUUUAUGUAACAGUAGAGUAACCUCAGUGGCCCUUGACUUCCCACAUUCUUCAGAAUUUAACAUCAAUUGCCAUUAACUAUACUUAAUACAGUACACUGGCUACAAGGUUGGACAUGAGUUUGGUGUAUUUUUAUUUCAAUGUACCAUUUUUUUUAUUUUUUUUCAUGGACAAACCAUUGUGAUUUGUAAAUAACUACAUACACGUACCUCUGGGUUAAGUAAAAGUGUUUUAAUCGAUUGUGUCACAGAAAACAAGAUUCAUGUGUAGCACCUGGUAAAGGAUGUGGAAAGGGACAAAGAUGUUGGACUGACUGUAUAUCCACUCCCUCCCUUCCACAUCCUUCAGAACCCCUUUCCAUCUUUUCCUCUGUCUUUUCAAUAAAAAUUGACUUAAGGUAAAGGAUUUUCUCUGGCAUUCCAUGUUGAAGAUCAAAGGAUGCUGCCCCCAGUGGCCCGGGGUCUCUAUACAUUUUAUAUUCAGAUAUUUUUUCUUGGAAAACUCCCCUCGGGGUGGGGGUGGGGGGUAGGCUUUGAUUUUCUUAGAAUUUUUCCUUUAGUCCUUAAUUUCCUCUCCGUUUUCCCUCAUAGAGUGCAUUACUCUUACUGCUCCAGUGGACCAUUGGCUUCAGCCUACUUUAAGAGUGCAGAGACUCAGACGACCAUUUCUUUUUGUACAGCAUAUCUGUAUUGGGGGCUGCGGUUAUAGUCACUGGUUGCAUAAGCCAUGUCUUCCUGUGUCCCCUUUGAUUCAGUUAUGGCGAAUGAGCAGUGGACACAUUUGCUGACAGUUAAACAUCACUUGUCUCUCAAUUUGAAAGGUAAAAUGGCUGUCUGUGUGAUGGGUGGAAAUGUAAGACUUUGGGG